rnacentral:rRNA from 1 species
AUUGAACGCUGGCGGCAGGCUUAACACAUGCAAGUCGAGCGAGCGGCGGACGGGUGAGUAAUGUCUGGGAAACUGCCUGAUGGAGGGGGAUAACUACUGGAAACGGUAGCUAAUACCGCAUACCAUCAGAUGUGCCCAGAUGGGAUUAGCUUGUAGGUGAGGUAACGGCUCACCUAGGCGACGAUCCCUAGCUGGUCUGAGAGGAUGAUCAGUCACACGUGGAUGGAGACACGGCCCAGACUCCUACGGGAGGCAGCAGUGGGGAAGAUUGCACAAUGGGCGCAAGCCUGAUGCAGCCAUGCCGCGUGUAUGAAGAAGGCCUUAGGGUUGUAAAGUACUUUCAGCGGGGAGGCGUUACCCGCAGAAGAAGCACCGGCUAACUCCGUGCCAGCAGCCGCGGUAAUAC